AAAACGACUCUCGGCAACGGAUAUCUCGGCUCUCGCAUCGAUGAAGAACGUAGCGAAAUGCGAUACUUGGUGUGAAUUGCAGAAUCCCGUGAACCAUCGAGUCUUUGAACGCAAGUUGCGCCCGAAGCCUUYUGGCCGAGGGCACGUCUGCCUGGGUGUCACGC
rnacentral:rRNA from 1 species